GACCUGCGGAAGGAUCAUUACCGAGUGAGGGCCCUUUGGGUCCAACCUCCCACCCGUGUUUAUUUUACCUUGUUGCUUCGGCGGGCCCGCCUUUACUGGCCGCCGGGGGGCUCACGCCCCCGGGCCCGCGCCCGCCGAAGACACCCCCGAACUCUGUCUGAAGAUUGAAGUCUGAGUGAAAAUAUAAAUUAUUUAAAACUUUCAACAACGGAUCUCUUGGUUCCGGCAUCGAUGAAGAACGCAGCGAAAUGCGAUACGUAAUGUGAAUUGCAAAUUCAGUGAAUCAUCGAGUCUUUGAACGCACAUUGCGCCCCCUGGUAUUCCGGGGGGCAUGCCUGUCCGAGCGUCAUUGCUGCCCUCAAGCCCGGCUUGUGUGUUGGGCCCCGUCCUCCGAUUCCGGGGGACGGGCCCGAAAGGCAGCGGCGGCACCGCGUCCGGUCCUCGAGCGUAUGGGGCUUUGUCACCCGCUCUGUAGGCCCGGCCGGCGCUUGCCGAUCAACCCAAAUUUUUAUCCAGGUUGACCUCGGAUCAGGUAGGGAUACCCGCUGAACUUAAGCAUAUCAAUAAGCGGAGGA
rnacentral:rRNA from 1 species